rnacentral:misc_RNA from 1 species
AGCAGCCGCGGUAAUUCCAGCUCCAAUAGCGUAUAUUAAAGUUGUUGUGGUUAAAAGCUCGUAGUUGAACCUUGGGCCUGGCUGGCCGGUCCGCCUCACCGCGUGUACUGGUCCGGCCGGGCCUUUCCCUCUGUGGAACCCCAUGCCCUUCACUGGGUGUGGCGGGGAAACAGGGACUUUUACUUUGAAAAAUUAGAGUGCUCCAGGCAGGCCUAUGCUCGAAUACAUUAGCAUGGAAUAAUAGAAUAGGACGUGUGGUUCUAUUUUGUUGGUUUCUAGGACCGCCGUAAUGAUUAAUAGGGACAGUCGGGGGCAUCAGUAUUCCGUUGUCAGAGGUGAAAUUCUUGGAUUUACGGAAGACUAACUACUGCGAAAGCAUUUGCCAAGGAUGUUUUCAUUUAAUCAGGAACGAAAGUUAGGGAUCGAAGACGAUCAGAUACCGUCGUAGUCUUAACCAUAAACUAUGCCGACUAGGGAUCGGACGAUGUUAUAUUUUGACUCGUUCGGCACCUUACGGGAA